CAGUUAUCUUCCUUUUUUAUAAAUUAUAAAAAUUUAAUUUGGUUAUUUAUUUGCUUAUUUUGUACCCUAAAAAGCAAAUUUUGAAUGUUCCUGAAGUUGAGAUGUAGUCAUUGCAAAAGGGUGAAGUGCCUGAUGAAUCAAGUAGGUAAUUCAACUGCCUUUAUUCAUUCACAUAUGAAUGUAUUGGUUCCACAAAUGUCUGUUUAGUAUCUCCUAUGCCUAAAUCUCUAUUCCAGGUGUUGGUCCACACAGACAGAUGUACUGGACAAGGAUACUGCCCUCAAGAUGUGAAGAUCCAUGGACACCAUAACACGAAACCAUCAUAGACUGGAAACAUUAAUGAAGAUCAGCAACAGGCAACCAAACCAACAAUUGAAAACCAAAUCAUCAACAAGACAAAAAAGAAGAAAGAAGCUGUCUGAGAUAAUUAUUUGGAUGUUUGAUCAUAUAAAUGUAACAGAAGCACAGAUUCCCUGACCCUCAGUGGCCUCAGGGACCAUCUGGCAAUGCCUUCAUUCUACUUUUUCUCACUCUAUUUUUCAGCAGCAGCAGAAAAAUCUUUAAAUCAAAUCAAAUCAUUACAUAUCCCUAUUGACAAAGACCCAACACUUUCCCACUAUGCUUAGGAUAAAGUAAAAUAUCUUCAACUGAAUCUAUUAGACAAUACAUGUUCUGCCUCAUGCCUACCCAUUUUCUGCCUCUCUCUAGACUAUCUGAUGGUUUUAUUCUCUGAUUUUUCUCAUUUUCUAACACGUCAAGUUCCUUCCAGCCUCAGGCCUUCUUUAUCUGUUGCCUUCUCCGUUUUUAAUUUUUUUUAGCCAUUUUUCACCUGGUUAAGUCCAACUCCUCCCAUGAAUCUCAACUUACAAUUUACUUAGAAAUUUUCUUUAGCAUGGAUAAAAUAAUUUAGAUCCCUCUUAUAUUUUAAUUCAACAUUCUCUAUUUCCAUUCCCAACAUUUUAUAUAAUCUUUAAUUAUAUAUUUAACAUGUACAUUUUCUUUAAAUAUUUGUUUUCCCACUAGUCUUUAAGCUAUGAGGUCAGGGGCUGUGUUUGUUUUAUAACAAGCUGAAAGUUCUGAUGUACGGUAUGUGUUCAAUGAAUUUGUUCAAAGAAUUAUCAAAUAACUGAGAAUAUCUAAGUAUCUUGCCCUUAGAGCUAAAAAUUUGUUGAUGUUUCCAUAUUUUGACCCAUAGUGUCUUAGUUUGAUUUUCUAUAAUAAAAUACCAUAUAACAUUUAUAAAGUAGCUUAUAAACAACAGAAACUUAUUUCUCACAGUUUUGAAUACUGCAAAGUCGGAAAUCAAGGCAUGGGCAGGUUCAGUGUCUGGUGAGGGGUCAUUUCUUGGUUCACAGAUGGCUGUUUUCUCCCUGAGUCCUUAUGGGUGGAAGAGCUGAGGAAGCUCUAGGGUUUCUUUUUUUUAGGACACUAAUCCCAUUCACAAGGGUUUUACCUGCAUGACUUAAUCACUUCCCAAAGUCCCCAUCUCCAAAUAUCAUCACUUUGGGGAUGAGGUUUAACAUAUGAAUUCUGGGAGCACAGAAACAUUGACUCCACAAAACAUAGUAUUUUAAUAUCUCUUUAACAUGUGUUUAUAACUAGUGAAAUAUGGGUGUAUAUACGUAUGAAUCAUAAUUAUUUGUAUAUAACUAUAAUUUAUUUUCAAUUUUCUGCUGAUUAUGUUAAUGUUCAACUGCACAUUGUAACACAUCAUACUGUGAAAUGAGAUACAAAAUAAAACAAC
rnacentral:lncRNA from 10 species